GAUGAACGCUGGCGGCGUGCCUAAUACAUGCAAGUCGAGCGAACGGACGAGAAGCUUGCUUCUCUGAUGUUAGCGGCGGACGGGUGAGUAACACGUGGAUAACCUACCUAUAAGACUGGGAUAACUUCGGGAAACCGGAGCUAAUACCGGAUAAUAUUUUGAACCGCAUGGUUCAAAAGUGAAAGACGGUCUUGCUGUCACUUAUAGAUGGAUCCGCGCUGCAUUAGCUAGUUGGUAAGGUAACGGCUUACCAAGGCAACGAUGCAUAGCCGACCUGAGAGGGUGAUCGGCCACACUGGAACUGAGACACGGUCCAGACUCCUACGGGAGGCAGCAGUAGGGAAUCUUCCGCAAUGGGCGAAAGCCUGACGGAGCAACGCCGCGUGAGUGAUGAAGGUCUUCGGAUCGUAAAACUCUGUUAUUAGGGAAGAACAUAUGUGUAAGUAACUGUGCACAUCUUGACGGUACCUAAUCAGAAAGCCACGGCUAACUACGUGCCAGCAGCCGCGGUAAUACGUAGGUGGCAAGCGUUAUCCGGAAUUAUUGGGCGUAAAGCGCGCGUAGGCGGUUUUUUAAGUCUGAUGUGAAAGCCCACGGCUCAACCGUGGAGGGUCAUUGGAAACUGGAAAACUUGAGUGCAGAAGAGGAAAGUGGAGUUCCAUGUGUAGCGGUGAAAUGCGCAGAGAUAUGGAGGAACACCAGUGGCGAAGGCGACUUUCUGGUCUGUAACUGACGCUGAUGUGCGAAAGCGUGGGGAUCAAACAGGAUUAGAUACCCUGGUAGUCCACGCCGUAAACGAUGAGUGCUAGGUGUUAGGGGGUUUCCGCCCCUUAGUGCUGCAGCUAACGCAUUAAGCACUCCGCCUGGGGAGUACGACCGCAAGGUUGAAACUCAAAGGAAUUGACGGGGACCCGCACAAGCGGUGGAGCAUGUGGUUUAAUUCGAAGCAACGCGAAGAACCUUACCAAAUCUUGACAUCCUUUGACAACUCUAGAGAUAGAGCCUUCCCCUUCGGGGGACAAAGUGACAGGUGGUGCAUGGUUGUCGUCAGCUCGUGUCGUGAGAUGUUGGGUUAAGUCCCGCAACGAGCGCAACCCUUAAGCUUAGUUGCCAUCAUUAAGUUGGGCACUCUAAGUUGACUGCCGGUGACAAACCGGAGGAAGGUGGGGAUGACGUCAAAUCAUCAUGCCCCUUAUGAUUUGGGCUACACACGUGCUACAAUGGACAAUACAAAGGGCAGCGAAACCGCGAGGUCAAGCAAAUCCCAUAAAGUUGUUCUCAGUUCGGAUUGUAGUCUGCAACUCGACUACAUGAAGCUGGAAUCGCUAGUAAUCGUAGAUCAGCAUGCUACGGUGAAUACGUUCCCGGGUCU
rnacentral:rRNA from 1 species